UUACAGUAUUUACUUUGUAUCUAAGCAUUUAGUUGCGUUGUCAAAGCUUUCUGGAAACAAACAUGGACUUCGUCAAAAUAUUUCUCUUUAUCUCUUUCAUCUGUGGCUUGCUUGCGGAACAAUCAGUAGGCUACCGGAUGAAUGUGGCAUCACAUACAAUCCUACCAAAUGCUUCCGAGGAGUUGUGUAUGAUGCGAAUAACAUCACUUUCAGCGUUGCAGAAUCAAUCUGCAAGUCAAUAAACGGAAAAACCGGCGAAAAUUUACGACCUCGAUCAUUGCCAAGAGUUGCAGUCUCAUAUUCGCUCACUCAUACCUGCUAGUCGAUCGUUCCUUUCCGUCUGGACAGGGAUGGAGUAUAAGAACAAUCAGCUUUUGCUGUCCAAUGGUGAAUUGAGCAAUAUAGACAAUUGGCUUUGGAGUUUUCCGUACGACGAACCAUCCCGCACAAACGUUGCUUUUCGUGUCGAAAAAGAUCCUACGUAUCAGGGGGGAAUAGGCAAUGAUCCUUCAUUCAUGCCAUUAGUCGGUGUCAUUUGUGAAAUAUAAAACCAGCUCCAAACCUGACAGAACUUCGUUGACGGACUGAAUGAUAUGAACGACAAAGUGUUGAAUUCUUAGUUUAUUAUCGUAUUUUACGUCUCUUGUGGCACAUCGUCAGCAAAUUUCUUAGAUUCGGGUUUUGUUCAUACAUCAUCGAACUAUGGCUGUUUCCCCGACCUUCGACCCCUCAAAAACUCUCGAUUUACUUUAUUAUUGCAAAAUUUUCAACGCGGAUUUUGAGAGUGUUUUUUCAAACUGCCUCACAUGUUCAAAACCACCAUUUUUAUUUAAUAAACCAUGUGCUGAUAGCCAUUCUCAAUACCCUUUAUCGCAACUUUUGCGGUAUAAAUUUUUGAUUGUUGUAACUAAACUAAGGAAGACAUGAUGACAAUUAAGUUACUAUUUUUUUGGUACACAAUUAACUAAAAACCAAAAAAUAACUCGCACCCUACCAAAAAGAGACAAUGUUUGCUACCACAACUGAAUACUUGCCUGAACAGCUGCAGAAUUUACAUUAGUUACGUCAUCGUUGACCUUUUGUUGAUUGGUCAUUGUUACAAAAAUAAAAAAAAAUAAAUCGAUGCUCGGAGAACGGAUCGGUUUCUAAGGAGUAUCGGUUACCGUACAAACCUUAUUUAACCAAAUAACUCAAUAUUUUUAUGGCGGUUUUAUUCAAAGAAAACCUAAAACGGUUGUUUGUUCAUGAAACAAUAGUACCGGUUCUGGUUUUGAGUUUAGAAAAUAAAGCACUGCCUGAUCCAUACAUUAGACGCACCCACUUGUAAGACGAACGAUCAUUUUUUGUUUCAAAGAGUGCUUAUGAUCUGUAAAAUAAGGUAGUUAUAUUAUUUCUUUACUAUCAUUAACCAUAUAACCCAUCACUUGAAUUGGUCCUGUUGUGUAUUGAAACUUUUGCUCAUAAAAUAAAAUGCAUAGCUGUCUCCAUGUGAUUUCUGUAUAUAACCAAGAUUGAUAAUAAACAUUGAUUCGAUAA